rnacentral:lncRNA from 1 species
UCAAAAUGAAUAAGUCUCUAUACAUGCCAUAACUUUAAACGUUUUGAAAUCACAUAAUAUCAAAAUGUCUGUUGAUAGUGUGAUACGAGGCUCCGACGAUCCCCAAUUCGAGCAAGCUCAAAACACUAUAAAACAAAGUAUAGGAAGAAAGGUGUACGCUACUAAUAGCUUAGUAAGUUACAUGUAAACAAUAAGUACUCAUUUAAUAAUUAACAUUUUUAACAUAUAACUAAGCAAUACAUUUCUUAGCAAUUUUAAUCACUUACACAUGCACAAUCUUACCAAUUCACUUGCACAAUACAUUUACACACUUAACAUUUAUCACAUAUGCUCAUUCUUUCAAAUGUACCUGCAUACACACUUCAUUUCAUGUUCAUUUUAACUCAUUAUUAAUCCCGUUGAACACUCGGAAUAUACACGGAUACGUAGAGAAUUAGCACAUAAAUGCCACACUGGUAUGUAGCCGAAGCUACCACUGAUCAAUAACACUGGAAAUGUCCACGGGCCUGCUCACACAAUCGCAACACAUGCUAGAUCACCCAGCACCCGGGACUCACUGUAACACUGGUCUCUAGUGACAUGUCACUUGUAUCCACUUCUAUUCCUAAGUUCAACCGGGAAUUUACAUUUAACACUUUAUUUUAAACACUUUAUCACUUGAAUAAUUCAUCAACAAUUUUCCAUCCACAUUCAAUAUUAAUUCACAUAUCAAAUAUAAUUCACAAUUUAUAAAAAUAUAUUGCUAUUAUUUACACGUAACUUACCUCGGAUGCAAAACGACUAUUUUCAUAAAUUAGUCGAUGACCUUCUCUUUUCCCCGAUCACUUCCACUAUUUCUUCUUUCUUGAUCUAUAUUAACACAAUUUAAUAUAUUUUAUCAACAUUCCAUUCAAAUACAAUUCAUACAUAAUAUUUUGGCAAACUUACAUUUUUUCCCAUAACUUUUCAAAAAUUACACUUUCGUCUCAAAGCUUAUAAAAAUAAAAUUCACUAAAUUUCUUAAAUUUCAAACCUCACUAAAUCAUAUUUCAUGCUCAUAACAGCCCUCAAUUUCACAAAAUCACAACUUUAUGCACACUUUACUAUCUUUCACAAUUUAGUCAUUUUUCAACAUUUUUAUCGAAAUUUAUCUAGUAAAACUCGUAAUUAGCACUUCAAACACUCAUUAUCUAUCAUCACUCAUCAAAUUACAACUAUAUCAUAAAUGGGUCAAUUUUUAAACUUUAAUUCCAUUUAAAAUAAAUGGUAGAAACAUGAAAUUCAAGCUUCAAUAAGCAUAAAAAUACGAAAAUAAUUAAAAACGAGGUAAGAAAUCACUUACAAUUGAGCUUAGAAAAAUCAAGAACCCUAGCUAUUAGGACAUGAAAUUUUCAGCAGCAAGC